GUAACAACUCAAUAGCAUUGCAGACAUUCAGUUCUCGCGCAACUUUCAAGCUUGGGGCUCUUGACUGGUGGACAAUCCUGUGACCUGGGGCUCAGCACUUGCCCUCAUCUGUGGCUGUGUAGUCUUCCACACAUGGCUUUCAGAGUCCCUGUGCUUACCGAACCAAGAACCGGAAACAACGAAGGCCUCAGGAGUUUUUAUGGACUGGACCUGAAAUCUGCACUGAGUCCUCUGACAGUUUGUAGAUUCUGUCAGUUGUAACUGUCAUGUCAUCUGCAACAGUGGUCACUGGCGCAGAAACAGGAGGCCAUGGAUUCUCUGAGCUGUUCUCUGAGCUGCUGCUGUCCUCAGUCAGAGAACACACCUCCUGUAGCUUCAGGAAUGCAAGAAAAAUACAGCAUUAGCCAUAUGUCACAGCAAGUGUUUGUGUCAAACUUCCUGCAAUAUGGACUGACAGCAGAUGGACACAGAGACAGAAUGAGGCUACUGCCAAUUCUUCUCUAUCUUUGGAAGUCAAAUGGACCUCAUUGUUUGGAGUGGGCUAUCCAGAGAGCCAGGACUGUGGCUGCUGUCUGUUCAGACAAAGCUUUCCCUGAAAAAAGAAAACGGAGAAUAUGAAAAUGAAAACAAACGCAGAAGAAGAACAAGCCCCAGAGGAUCUGUGAGCAACGCUGCUGCAGUCACGACUCUCAGUUUUUUUUGUACUUUGAUUUUGCUCAGGGAACUUUGAGCAUUACUCAUCUUUAAUUACCUUAAUUUCAUGCUUAACCCAGGCACAAAGAGAUCUGCUUGUAAUUUCAGAUGAGAGGAAAUGAAAUUCCCCUCAGCAAAGUCAAAUUUUAAAAUUCAAAGAGGGAGAACAAUGUAUUGAAUCACAAACAAUAUGAACCUUUUGCAUUUCAAGGCCAAGUGACGCUGCUGUCAGGCUGGAGAGAGAAAGCUGAAGGGUAAAGAAGGCUACAGAAGCACAGAUGUGGUGAAUCAUCCAUAGUCAAAGGAAGAUUUCUAAUUUGUGCACAGCUAAUAUGUUUUGAAGAUGUGGUGAGAGUGAGCAUCGUCAUUGAGGAUAUGCUAUCCAAAGCUGACAUUAAUAUUUAUGUGGUAGCAGCUACCAGAAGAGCAGACAGAGUGCCCAGGGGAAAUAAUUCACUUUCUCAGAUCAGCCUUGCAUCUCAGCUCCUCAUCAGUGAAGAAAAACCUCAGAAUAACUCAUUUGUUGAUCAGUAAA